rnacentral:rRNA from 1 species
GAUGAACGCUGGCGGCGUGCCUAACACAUGCAAGUCGAACGGACUUUUCAUGAAGCCUAGCGAUUGAAGAGUUAGUGGCGGACGGGUGAGUAACGCGUGGGUAACCUGCCUUGUACUGGGGGACAACAGUUGGAAACGACUGCUAAUACCGCAUAAGCGCACAGCUUCGCAUGAAGCAGUGUGAAAAACUCCGGUGGUACAAGAUGGACCCGCGUCUGAUUAGCUGGUUGGUGAGGUAACGGCCCACCAAGGCGACGAUCAGUAGCCGGCCUGAGAGGGUGAACGGCCACAUUGGGACUGAGACACGGCCCAAACUCCUACGGGAGGCAGCAGUGGGGAAUAUUGCACAAUGGGGGAAACCCUGAUGCAGCAACGCCGCGUGAGUGAAGAAGUAUUUCGGUAUGUAAAGCUCUAUCAGCAGGAAAGAAAAUGACGGUACCUGACUAAGAAGCCCCGGCUAACUACGUGCCAGCAGCCGCGGUAAUACGUAGGGGGCAAGCGUUAUCCGGAUUUACUGGGUGUAAAGGGAGCGUAGACGGUUUUGCAAGUCUGAAGUGAAAGCCCGGGGCUUAACCCCGGGACUGCUUUGGAAACUGUAGAACUAGAGUGCAGGAGAGGUAAGUGGAAUUCCUAGUGUAGCGGUGAAAUGCGUAGAUAUUAGGAGGAACACCAGUGGCGAAGGCGGCUUACUGGACUGUAACUGACGUUGAGGCUCGAAAGCGUGGGGAGCAAACAGGAUUAGAUACCCUGGUAGUCCACGCCGUAAACGAUGAUUACUAGGUGUUGGUGGGUACGACCCAUCGGUGCCGCAGCAAACGCAAUAAGUAA